UCAGCUCGUGUCGUGAGAUGUUGGGUUAAGUCCGCAACGAGCGCAACCCCUAUUGUUAGUUGCCAUCAUUCAGUUGGGCACUCUAGCGAGACUGCCGGUAAUAAACCGGAGGAAGGUGGGGAUGACGUCAAAUCAUCAUGCCCCUUAUGACCUGGGCUACACACGUGCUACAAUGGUUGGUACAACGAGUUGCGAGUCGGUGACGGCGAGCUAAUCUCUUAAAGCCAAUCUCAGUUCGGAUUGUAGGCUGCAACUCGCCUACAUGAAGUCGGAAUCGCUAGUAAUCGCGGAUCAGCACGCCGCGGUGAAUACGCUCCCGGGCCUU
rnacentral:rRNA from 1 species